AUUGAACGCUGGCGGCAGGCUUAACACAUGCAAGUCGAGCGGGGGAAGGUAGCUUGCUACCGGACCUAGCGGCGGACGGGUGAGUAAUGCUUAGGAAUCUGCCUAUUAGUUGGGGACAACAUCUCGAAAGGGAUGCUAAUACCGCAUACGCCCUACGGGAGAAAGCAGGGGAUCUACGGCCGUUGCGCUAAUAGAUGAGCCUAAGUUGGAUUAGCUAGUUGGUGGGGUAAGGGCCUACCAAGGCGACGAUCUGUAGCGGGUCUGAGAGGAUGAUCCGCCACACUGGGACUGAGACACGGCCCAGACUCCUACGGGAGGCAGCAGUGGGGAAUAUUGGACAAUGGGGGGAACCCUGAUCCAGCCAUGCCGCGUGUGUGAAGAAGGCCCUAUGGUUGUAAAGCACUUUAAGCGAGGAGGAGGCUACUCUAGUUAAUACCUAGGGAUAGUGGACGUUACUCGCAGAAUAAGCACCGGCUAACUCUGUGCCAGCCGCCGCGGUAA
rnacentral:rRNA from 1 species